AGGUACAUCAUCUUUACCAUCAUUCCUCGUGUGAUCAGCCAUUAUCGCAAAUUCUGAGAUUCGAUGAAGAUUGGUCUGCAUCUGUAUCCAGCGAUUCAAGGUAGGGAACCUCUCAGAUUGGUCAAGAGCAAACUCAAAGAAUAACCUAUCAGCAUCAGGAGUUUGUAGAAAGCAACUUUUCAGAGAUCUAGAUACAGUAGUCUCCCUGCCACGAUAAAGUAUAGAACU
rnacentral:misc_RNA from 1 species